rnacentral:rRNA from 1 species
UACGUAGGGUGCUAGCGUUGUUCGGAAUCAUUGGGCGUAAAGCGCGUGUAGGCGGUUAGUUAAGUCGGGUGUGAAAUCCCUGGGCUCAACCGAGGAAGUGCAUCCGAAACUAACUAGCUAGAGAAUGGUAGAGGAAGGUGGAAUUCCGUGUGUAGAGGUGAAAUUCGUAGAUAUACGGAGGAAUACCGGUGGCGAAGGCGGCCUUCUGGACCAUUUCCUGACGCUGAGACGCGAAAGCGUGGGGAGCAAACAGGG